UCUAUUAAAAGGCUUACAGAUUUCAGUUCCUUGGACCUGUGUGGAUUUUUCUGGAAUAUUUGUUUUGGAAUAUAUUACCCCAGCGAAGAACGGGAAGCGUCUAAAUGUAAGGGAAAAACCGGUCUAGCGCCACCUAGUAGUCAUCCAAGUGCUUCGCUCUCCGAGAAGGUUAUCCGUGUGGUCUUGUACCCAGUGAUCUCGGGUGUGUGUGGGAACGUCGCCUGUGCUAUCUCUCCAUCAUUCACCUUAUUUUCACUACCCAAGUUCAAUAAACUGUUACUUAGACGAA